ensembl:misc_RNA 7SK 7SK RNA
GGAUGUGAGGUCAAUCUGGCUGUGACAUCUGUCACCCCAGUGAUCGCCAGGGCUGAUUCCAUUGAUCUGGCUGACUAGGAGUGUGUCUCCUUCCUCCUUCACCGCUCCAUGUGUGUCCCUCCCGAAUUUGCACCCUUGAUGGAAGAGGACGGCCUUCCUGGCAUAGAGACCCACUGGUCUUCUGUCCAGGGUAUAGGAGUAGCUGUGCUCCCUUGCUGGAAAUUCCAGACAAGCUCUCAAGGUCCAACCUGACUUCCCUGGGCAGCUGACCUCACCAAUGCGUCCUGGAACCUCAUU